AAAAAUCUAAAAACAUUUCGUCAAUUUCCUCACUAAACAACACGUUUUUCUCUCAGUGAAGAACAAUAGCUUUUCUGAAGAAUUGAUGAACAAUAGUUUUUUCCUCACAGAUUAUCCGUCAAAAUUGAUCACAGAUUCCUUGUGGAGGAUUGAAGAGCUGAAGAACAUGAAUGUCCUCAUAGAUUCUUUGUUAAAGAGUUGUUUCAUCGUAUUUCACAGAAGAACAAAAUGCUUCACACAAAACACGCCUCAUGUCUUAAAGCUUUAGGGUUGUUGGAAUAGGGUUUACAGUUGCAGUCUCCUUGUUCAUGGGAUCCUGAUAAGAGGACGAUGACAAUUGAUGCUCUUCAGCCUUGAAUUAUCAGGAAGACGAACAAAUAAGAACUAAUCGUCUUGCACUGCUGAAGUAAAUAACAUACUUUCCAAGGGGAUAGCCACAAUAAUAGCCAUGGCGGGGAGAUGAACUUUUUAUCCCAUCAAUCAAUUUUGCUGGAUUAGGUCUCCAUACAUUUCAGAGGAGAACUAGUGAACAGGUCACGGUAAAAGAAAGUACUUGUUGAUGUCGGAUGAGGACUUUAUGAGGAAGAGAAUUUUCAGGUCCCGGUGAACAGAAUCACAAAAACUGUGUAUCCUAUUUUGUAGCAUUUAAGGUAAGCGACUUUACAUUAUUUCUUGUUCAACCCUUCCUGUGCAAUAUUUCAAGUUUUUGAGAUUCAUAAUUAAUGUAGUUUUUGAAUUUUCAGUUUUAGUUCGAUAUUAUUUUGAUAUGAGGUGACAUUGUUUAUGCUAUCUUUAAAAUUUCAUCAUAACUUUUAAGGCGAUUGAUUUUCAAAUUUUUUUCUUCAAGUUCAAAAUUUUGUGAUGAAUAUUUUGGAACUCCAUUAAAUAUGUUGUGUUGUCAUCCUAACUAUUAAUUAUAUGAAUGAUAGAAUAUUAGCGCUGGUUUAAAGUUCUAGUUAUUUUUCGAAUUCUUAAGUUAGUUUCUUAUUCCUUUUGAAUUUUACGCUUCAAGUUACCGAACCAAAUCGCUGCUACAUCUGACCUCCAUAAUGUUUUGAUACUCACGGCCUGCUGUAACUAUUUCUGUGAUAUAUGAGGAUUGUAGUGUGUUGUAUUUUGCUGAUGGAGCGGAAUUUUGUGCAUUAUGUGUCGUGCUAAGUUCUACUUGUAUUAGAUUUUAGCAUGUAGAUGGUGGUCCUUUUUCUACAUAGCCUCCUAUAGUUAGAUUUCUUAAACUAUUAGUAGAAUUGUGCAAGUUUGUUCGUAGUAUGCAUAUUAGGCACUAUUUUCUUUAUCAACGGGGUACUGAACAAGGUUACCGUCAUUUUGCAUUUUGAGGCGAAAAUCCCAAAUAAAUCAUCUGCUUCUGAGGCACUUGAGAAAAGCUUUUGUCUAGCUGCUAUAUGCUAACAGGGUAAAAUAGUGUUUGUCGGAUUGUUAAAACAUCGCCAAAUGACAUUGCUAUCUGAAUCAUAGAGCAGAAAGUAUUCUGUGUCCAGCAUGGAAGCUGAAGCAAUGGCUCGAGAUGGAUUGAUAACAGAGAUUUCUUGGCUUUCUACUUGCAUAGUGAUCCUUUCAUAGGAGACUGCAACAUAUUUCAAAGCUAUCUGCUCACAACUUCCAGAGCAGUCAUCACAUAAGUGUGAUCAAUCUUCCAUCAAAUGUUGUGGUGACAGUGGUCUUUCUCCAGACGACGAAAUAGAGAACAAACUUCUUCUAUCUAGACGUCGAGCAGAAUACUCUGCUAGAACGCAUGCUUUUCCCCAAAAUCUUACUGCUGUCCAUUUUACACAGAAUGUAUUGUUAGUAGGAAUCUUUCAGUAAUUGCAUUCUAUAUGCAUGCACGGGACAUGUUCUCAAAGUUUAUUUAAUUUGAAAUAUAUACCUCCAUAUUAUUUAUAAGCUGAUUUUGUGUUUUA